CAUAGCUCAGUUGGUAGAGCGUCAGACUGAAGAUCUGAAGGCCCUUCGUUCGAUUC
rnacentral:tRNA from 1 species